UACGUAGGGUGCAAGCGUUGUCCGGAAUUAUUGGGCGUAAAGAGCUCGUAGGCGGUCUGUCGCGUCGGCUGUGAAAACCUGGGGCUUAACUCCGGGCCUGCAGCCGAUACGGGCAGACUAGAGUUCGGCAGGGGGAGACUGGAAUUCCUGGUGUAGCGGUGAAAAUGCGCAGAUAUCAGGAGGAACACCGGUGGCGAAGGCGGGGUCUCUGGGGCCGGUACUGACGCUGAGACGCGAAAAGCGUGGGGGAGCGAAACAGG
rnacentral:rRNA from 1 species